AGCGAACGCUGGCGGCAGGCCUAACACAUGCAAGUCGAACGAACUCUUCGGAGUUAGUGGCGGACGGGUGAGUAACACGUGGGAACGUGCCUUUAGGUUCGGAGUAACUCAGGGAAACUUGUGCUAAUACCGAAUGUGCCCUUCGGGGGAAAGAUUUAUCGCCUUUAGAGCGGCCCGCGUCGGAUUAGCUAGUUGGUGUGGUAAAGGCUCACCAAGGAGACGAUCAGUAGCUAGUCUGAGAGGAUGAUCAGCCACAUUGGGACUGAGACACGGCCCAAACUCCUACGGGAGGCAGCAGUGGGGAAUCUUGCGCAAUGGGCGAAAGCCUGACGCAGCCAUGCCGCGUGAAUGAUGAAGGUCUUAGGAUUGUAAAAUUCUUUCACCGGGGACGAUAAUGACGGUACCCGGAGAAGAAGCCCCGGCUAACUUCGUGCCAGCCGCCGCCGUAA
rnacentral:rRNA from 1 species